rnacentral:rRNA from 1 species
AUUGAACGCUGGCGGCAGGCCUAACACAUGCAAGUCGAACGAGUGGCGGACGGGUGAGUAAUGUCUGGGAAACUGCCUGGUGGAGGGGGAUAACUACUGGGAACGGUAGCUAAUACCGCAUACCAUCGGAUGUGCCCAGAUGGGAUUAGCGAGGAGGUGGGGUAAAGGCUCACCUAGGCGACGAUCCGUAGCUGGUCUGAGAGGAUGACCAGUCACACUGGAACUGAGACACGGUCCAGACUCCUACGGGAGGCAGCAGUGGGGAAUAUUGGACAAUGGGCGCAAGCCUGAUGCAGCCAUGCCGCGUGUAUGAAGAAGGCCUUCGGGUUGUAAAGUACUUUCAGCGGGGAGGCGUUACCCGCAGAAGAAGCACUGGCUAACUCCGUGCCAGCCGCCGCGGUAAUUC